rnacentral:rRNA from 1 species
UUAGAGUUUGAUCCUGGCUCAAGACGAACGCUGGCGGCGCGCCUAACACAUGCAAGUCGAACGAGCGAGAGAGAGCUUGCUUUCUCGAGCGAGUGGCGAACGGGUGAGUAACGCGUGAGGAACCUGCCUCAAAGAGGGGGACAACAGUUGGAAACGACUGCUAAUACCGCAUAAGCCCACGGUGCCGCAUGGCACAGAGGGAAAAGGAGUAAUCCGCUUUGAGAUGGCCUCGCGUCCGAUUAGCUAGUUGGUGAGGUAACGGCCCACCAAGGCGACGAUCGGUAGCCGGACUGAGAGGUUGAACGGCCACAUUGGGACUGAGACACGGCCCAGACUCCUACGGGAGGCAGCAGUGGGGAAUAUUGCACAAUGGGGGAAACCCUGAUGCAGCGACGCCGCAUGGAGGAAGAAGGUCUUCGGAUUGUAAACUCCUGUUGUUGGGGAAGAUAAUGACGGUACCCAACAAGGAAGUGACGGCUAACUACGUGCCAGCAGCCGCGGUAAAACGUAGGUCACAAGCGUUGUCCGGAAUUACUGGGUGUAAAGGGAGCGCAGGCGGGAAGACAAGUUGGAAGUGAAAUCUAUGGGCUCAACCCAUAAACUGCUUUCAAAACUGUUUUUCUUGAGUAGUGCAGAGGUAGGCGGAAUUCCCGGUGUAGCGGUGGAAUGCGUAGAUAUCGGGAGGAACACCAGUGGCGAAGGCGGCCUACUGGGCACCAACUGACGCUGAGGCUCGAAAGUGUGGGUAGCAAACAGGAUUAGAUACCCUGGUAGUCCACACCGUAAACGAUGAUUACUAGGUGUUGGAGGAUUGACCCCUUCAGUGCCGCAGUUAACACAAUAAGUAAUCCACCUGGGGAGUACGACCGCAAGGUUGAAACUCAAAGGAAUUGACGGGGGCCCGCACAAGCAGUGGAGUAUGUGGUUUAAUUCGACGCAACGCGAAGAACCUUACCAAGUCUUGACAUCCCUUGACAGGCAUAGAAAUAUGUUUUCUCUUCGGAGCAAGGAGACAGGUGGUGCAUGGUUGUCGUCAGCUCGUGUCGUGAGAUGUUGGGUUAAGUCCCGCAACGAGCGCAACCCUUAUGGUCAGUUACUACGCAAGAGGACUCUGGCCAGACUGCCGUUGACAAAACGGAGGAAGGUGGGGAUGACGUCAAAUCAUCAUGCCCUUUAUGACUUGGGCUACACACGUACUACAAUGGCGUUAAACAAAGAGAAGCAAGACCGCGAGGUGGAGCAAAACUCAGAAACAACGUCCCAGUUCGGACUGCAGGCUGCAACUCGCCUGCACGAAGUCGGAAUUGCUAGUAAUCGUGGAUCAGCAUGCCACGGUGAAUACGUUCCCGGGCCUUGUAC